rnacentral:rRNA from 1 species
GACGAACGCUGGCGGCGUGCCUAAUACAUGCAAGUAGAACGCUGAAGAGAGGAGCUUGCUCUUCUUGGAUGAGUUGCGAACGGGUGAGUAACGCGUAGGUAACCUGCCUGGUAGCGGGGGAUAACUAUUGGAAACGAUAGCUAAUACCGCAUAAGAUUGAAUAUCGCAUGAUAAUUGAUUAAAAGAUGCAAUUGCAUCACUACCAGAUGGACCUGCGUUGUAUUAGCUAGUAGGUGAGGUAACGGCUCACCUAGGCGACGAUACAUAGCCGACCUGAGAGGGUGAUCGGCCACACUGGGACUGAGACACGGCCCAGACUCCUACGGGAGGCAGCAGUAGGGAAUCUUCGGCAAUGGGGGCAACCCUGACCGAGCAACGCCGCGUGAGUGAAGAAGGUUUUCGGAUCGUAAAGCUCUGUUGUAAGAGAAGAACGAGUGUGAGAGUGGAAAGUUCACACUGUGAC